rnacentral:rRNA from 1 species
GGGCGGGCGAAUUCAAGAUCGAUCCGCUCGCGUGGGUCGGUUUGAUAUUUCGUUUGCCGUCGGACGUCGCGACCCGUUCGGCGUUCGUCGACGCUUGCCCCGUCGAAGGCGGUUCGUGUCCGGCGAAGCGGCGACGUUUCGUUAAGGGCGCGAACUUCGCGCGGGUAAUGGCGGACGAACUGGCUGGACGGUAGGAGUAAACUGCGGCGUGCUGUCGAAGCGCGCCGCGGUCGGUCCGCGACGAUUUUUCGGUCCUCUUUCCGACCCGUCUUGAAACACGGACCAAGGAGUCUAACGUGCGCGCGAGUCGCGGGGUUUUCGCGGCCGCGAGCGCCUAGCGCGUUUCGCGACCGCGUUACAUUUCAGCUAAACCCGUUCCGAGGCGCAAUGAAAGUGAAGGCGGUACAACUCGGCUUCGGUCGUGGUUUAACCCGCCGCGGGAAGAUGGCGUUUCGAGAGCACCCGUUCUCGGCGACUUGAUCACUCGAGUUAGAGAGGCACGAGACCGAACGUCCGCACUCCCGGGGCGUCGCAUCAGGUCCGACGGUGUUCUACGCGGUGUCGCAGCCGCGCGCAUCGUUGAACGGCGGCGCACUCUUAGCGCGCACGUUGGUACCCGAAAGAUGGUGAACUAUGCCUGGCCAGGAUGAAGUCAGGGGAAACCCUGAUGGAGGUCCGCAGCGAUUCUGACGUGCAAAUCGAUCGUCUGAGCUGGGUA